UGACACCAGUCACUCAUCCUCAGCUGCGGUCAGCUCUAUCUACCUUGAAAGGUCUGAGCUCUCGGCCUCAUCUACCGGAGCAGUGAACCCCAGACACAGGCUCUACGGAUGUGCUCGAGACCCACGUGCUUGGUCCCCUGAAGCUCUGCCUUCCGUUCUACCAUCCUGUUCCUGGCUGGAGAGCCCAGGGUUGACUGAGGCUGCAGGAUGUGCCCUGUACCGCCAAGAAGAGGAGGAGACUGAGGCUCCGACACACGAGAUCACUUGUUCAUGGUGACACGCGACGUAACCGAAAAGCUGGCAGGAAAAAAAGAGAAUAACAUCAAGUGAGCAGCCACCGGUGUAGCACCGAAAGCCUCCAGGAAACCCUCAUCCCAGGCCUCCUCACCCUCCGAGAACGUGGAAAGCACAGGUGGCCAGGUCAGGGGGUGGGGGCCCACACACCUGCAAAGGCUGGUGUCAGUGGUCGACUGCCAAGCCUGGGUCUCCUGCACUGUUUUCCUCCCGCACUUCCUUGAAGGGACGAGCCAGAGAGAGCCCUCUCCUAACCCUGUCCACACACAGCGCUCAGUGAAACCCUCAGCUCAGGAAACCCUCAGCGGGCUCUUCACAAACCAUUUCAGCAUCAGUCCUUUAAGACGGUAACUUUCUGAUUGUCUGUAUUGAAAGGUCUUUCUUUUAGGAAGAGGUGGUAACGUGUUUCGUAACUCUCUUGUUUGGCCAAAGAAGGAAUCGUCAGGGCUGACAUUAUGGUAUAGCAGGUAAAGUCACCACCUGCAAUGCCAGCAGCCCCUCUGGGAGCUGGUCCAUAUCCUGUCUUCUCCACUUCCCAUUCAGCUCCCUGCAAAUGGGAAAGCAGCAGAAAAUGGCCCAAGCGUUUGGACCCCUGCUACUGGCAUAGGAAACCUGGAUGAAGCUCCUGCCUCCUGGCUUCAGCCUGGCCCAGCCCUGGUCAUUGUAGACAUCUGAGUGUGAACCAGAAGAUGGAAGAGUCCUCUCUCCUCUCUCCUCUCUCCUUUCUCCUCUCUCCUCUCUGCU